CCCUGGGCUGCAGCUCAUCUCCCUCUGAGCGGGACUUCUCUGGAGCUCAGCAACUCAGAGAACUAUUGAUGACAGAGCUGGGGCUGAUACCUCCCCCUCUUCUCAAGGCUCAGCUGUUGAGAGAUGCAGAGGCAUCUGAUCCAGUUCCAGAUGUCCUGUCCAGUGGCACCUGUCAAAUCACAGGACUUGAUCUCCUAUCGACACUCCCUUGCUGUGAGGAAUGGGUCGUGCUGGUCGCUCUGUCAGCUCUGGUCACAUUUGCUCAGUUCAGUGCGAGAAGUGGUAGCUGCAGUAAAUACAGAAGGAAGAGCCUGAACUCCAGUGGAAAUCAAAAAACUUUGACCUCGGCUAUACUUCUUCAAUGGCACCUUCAUUUCCUUUCCUCAAGAGAUUCUUUAGAGCUGUGUAUGAAUGGAAACGUGCACAGGGCUUAUUUAAAAAUAAAAGGAUGGGAUCUACAAGUAUUAUAGGCUGCCAUCUGUUGCUUUGUAAUUUCCAAUUUAUAAACAAGCAAAAUAGGUAGAAGUGACUUUGUUAAUGUAUUAUUAUCACUUGUCUAAAUAUAUAUUUGGUUGACUAUAUAUAUGUAUACAAUAUACAUAUUACAUAUAUACAAUAUACAGAUGUAUACAAUAUACAUAUUGCAUAUAAUAUGAAUACAAUAUAGGCUUUACAUUAAUCUGUAUGUAGAUGGUCCUGGAUCACAACAACCCCAUCCAGCAUACCAGGCUGUGGGGGAGUGUCUGGAAACUGCCCAAUGGAAAAGGACCUGAACAUGAGCCAGCCUGUGCCCAGGUGGCCAAGGUGGCUGAUGGCACCCUGGCCUGGAUGAGCAAUGGUGUGGCCAGCAGGACCAGGGCAGGGAUUGUCCCCCUGUACUGGUGAGGCCACACCUCGAGAGCUGUGUCCACUUCUGGGCCCCUCACUGCAAGAAGGACAUUGAGGGGCUGGAGCCUGGCCACAGAAGGAGCUGGUGAAGGGUCUGGAGCACAAAUCUGAUGAGCAGCUGAGGCAGCUGGGGGUGUUUAGCCUGGAGAAAAGAUGGCCCAGGCUCUUGUCCCCCUCUACACCUCCCUGGAAGGAGGCUGUAGCCAGGUGGGGAUUUGGCUUCUUCUCCCAGGGAGCAAGCGACAGGAUGAAAGGAAAUGGCUUCAAGCUGCACAAGGGGAAGUUUAUGCUGGAUAUUAGGAAAAAUUUAUUCAUGGAAAUGGUGGCCAAGCAUUGGAACAGGCUGCAGGGGGAAGUGGUGGAGCCACCAUCCCUGGAGAUAUUUUUUAAAGUGUGGUGCUUAGGGACCUGGCUUAGGGAUGGACUUGGCAAUGUCAGACUUGCAUUUGGACUCAGUGAACUUAAACCUGUUCUCCAACCUAAAUGAUUUUAUGAUUCAAGAUUGGGAUUUUUUUUAAGGUUAGAUGACAUUUUCAUUUUAAAAUAAAAUUAAAGUAAAUAAAGCAUUACUGAACUGCCACAUGUGGCAAGGCUGCUGGCUUGUCAGCAGUUUUUCAAUUUGAGCUCCUUUUUUUUGUCCCAGUCUAAUGGUUCCAUUUAUUGCAAAUUUUUAAAGUUUUGUAUGGGUUGGCAUUUUGGAGCCAAUUGCCUCUUGAUUAUAAAGUAAUAAUAUGCACAAAUUAAGGAAAAGAUGGCACUAAAAAUUUUGGGCCUUGUUCCAGAAACUCGUCUCACAUUCUUAAAUAGUGAGUAACUGUAGCAAAUGUAGCAGGUACAGAGAUGCCUGCCUUUUUGCUUUUGCUUUUUCUAAAUCCCUUUUAUACUCACCCACAUUACUCUUCAUUCUCUGCAGUGAUUUAUCCAUGCAUUGUUAAUCAACUUUAUUUCCCAACACCUCUGCCUACUCUUAUGUUCCAUAGUAACUUUUACAAUUAUGCAAGUCAGCUAUCUUAUUGCAUCCUUGGAGGUACAUGACAAUUGUGUUUUAAGAAAUUGCCUUCAUACAGCAUUGUGUAAAUGACAUAAUAUUGUGCUCUUUUUGCUACCUUGGUAUUAUUUUAAUUAAAAACAGUAGUAAUAAAACAUCUGCAUUUCCACUUCAGUAAACAAAAUUGCCCUAAAGUUAUAAAUGAAUAUUAAAAAUUUUAUCACAAAUAUUGGUGUCUAAUAAAUAUAUGAAUAUUGAUAUAAAGGAGUUUAUUAGAACAACUGCUGCAUGAAAUGGGGGGCAUAUGGGUGUUUUUAAAAAUGCUUGCACAGAUUCCUCAGAUCCUGUCAGAUGCUCCAGAUGGAACAGGAUAACCUAGCAAAGGGAGGCAAGCCCAUUUAAUUCCAGGAAUUAAAAAAGAUAUAGCAAAGCACACACAGGAGUGUUGUGUGUUUCACUUGUGUGCUUUUCUAUCCUAAAGAAACUAGCAGGGACCUAUAGUAGAUCAAAUUGUUUUAGAUUGAAUCUGUCUAGCUAAAGGAGGCUUUAAAGUACUGAAAUCCUGAAGUAUCUGUAUGCAGAUACACGUGGGAAAAAAAACUCUACCUUCAAAUCUGAGAAACAAAGUUUUAAAAGAAACAGCAGUAUCUUUUUAUUUGGUGAGUUUCUGAAGCUGAUUCAGGUUGGAACCUCCUUUGCAGAAUGACACUUGGCAGCAGAUCUGGCAUUUCUUGUCUUCCUAUUGGACAAGGAAAAACUGUAAAUCAUCCCACUGCUUUCCCACAGAGUAUUUUUUGCAAUCCUGCAUUGUUGAUACUAACUACUAACUACGGAGAUGGGUUAACCUUUGCCUUUAGUCAAGUCUGCUGUAAGUCUCCCAUUUAAAAUCAGACAUCACCUUGAUG